AGCUUUGCGCAGUGGCAGUAUCAUAGCCAAUGAGGUUUAUCCGAGGCGUGAUUAUUGCUAAUUGAAAACUUUUCCCAAUACCCCGCCAUGGUGACUUGAAAUAUAGUCAGCAAUGGCAAUUUUUGACAGUCUCUGAAAGAGA